UACGGAGGGGGCUAGCGUUGUUCGGAAUUACUGGGCGUAAAGGGCUCGUAGGCGGCCAACUAAGUCAGACGUGAAAUCCCUCGGCUUAACCGGGGAACUGCGUCUGAUACUGGAUGGCUUGAGUUUGGGAGAGGGAUGCGGAAUUCCUGGUGUAGCGGUGAAAUGCGCAGAUAUCAGGAGGAACACCGGUGGCGAAGGCGGGUCUCUGGGCCGAUACUGACGCUGAGGAGCGAAAGCGUGGGGAGCGAACAGG
rnacentral:rRNA from 1 species